GAUGAACGCUAGCUACAGGCCUAACACAUGCAAGUCGAGGGGAAACGACAUCGAAAGCUUGCUUUUGAUGGGCGUCGACCGGCGCACGGGUGAGUAACGCGUAUCCAACCUGCCCAUCACUUGGGAAUAACCUUGCGAAAGUAAGACUAAUACCCAAUGACAUCCCACGAAGACAUCUGAAUGGGAUUAAAGAUUUAUCGGUGAUGGAUGGGGAUGCGUCUGAUUAGCUUGUUGGCGGGGUAACGGCCCACCAAGGCAACGAUCAGUAGGGGUUCUGAGAGGAAGGUCCCCCACAUUGGAACUGAGACACGGUCCAAACUCCUACGGGCGGCAGCAGUGAGGAAUAUUGGUCAAUGGGCGAGAGCCUGAACCAGCCAAGUGGCGUGCAGGAUGACGGCCCUAUGGGUUGUAAACUGCUUUUAUAAGGGAAUAAAGUGGGUCUCGUGAGACUUUUUGCAUGUACCUUAUGAAUAAGGACCGGCUAAUUCCGUG
rnacentral:rRNA from 1 species